rnacentral:rRNA from 1 species
AUUGAACGCUGGCGGCAUGCCUUACACAUGCAAGUCGAACGGCAGCGCGGACUUCGGUCUGGCGGCGAGUGGCAAACGGGUGAGUAAAGCAUCGGAACGUGCCUAGGAGUGGGGGAUAACGUAGCGAAAGUUACGCUAAUACCGCAUAUUCUGUGAGCAGGAAAGCAGGGGAUCUUCGGACCUUGUGCUUCUGGAGCGGCCGAUGUCAGAUUAGCUAGUUGGUGAGGUAAAAGCUCACCAAGGCGACGAUCUGUAGCGGGUCUGAGAGGAUGAUCCGCCACACUGGGACUGAGACACGGCCCAGACUCCUACGGGAGGCAGCAGUGGGGAAUUUUGGACAAUGGGGGCAACCCUGAUCCAGCCAUGCCGCGUGAGUGAAGAAGGCCUUCGGGUUGUAAAGCUCUUUCGGCCGGGAAAAAAUCGCUUGGGCUAAUACCUCAAGUGGAUGAUGGUACCGGAAUAAGAAGCACCGGCUAACUACGUGCCAGCCGCCGCAGUAA